CUCGGGGGCGUGCCUGCGGCGACGGGGCGGAGCCGGUGUCCGCCUAGUCUCACAACGUCAACAAAGCGCUUAACGGCUGUCGGAGAAUCCUGAGCCGGUGACUCCACGACGCUGCAUGACUAAGUUAAUGGGACCUCGCUUGUUCCUUCGGACUGAAAGAAACUCAAGCUUUUCCCUUCUCCAUCACCACUGUGUAUGAACAAAUGGAAGAAUAAAGUGACUACAAGAAGAACAGCCUUAUCUGCACCUCCAGAGAUGACUGGAACACAGGGAUUGAAGAAAAUGCUUGUUUCCACUGCAUUUAUUACUAAUAUAAAAAAAUGUUAAAAAGAAAAAAAAA